rnacentral:rRNA from 1 species
GAUGAACGCUGGCGGCGUGCCUAAUACAUGCAAGUCGAACGAAGAUCUAGCUUGCUAGAUCUUAGUGGCGAACGGGUGAGUAAUACAUAAAUAAUCUGCCCAUAUGACUGGGAUAACUAUUGGAAACGAUAGCUAAUACCGGAUAGGUUGAUUGGAGGCAUCUCUGAUUAAUUAAAGUAGGAUUUCUACACAAAUGGAUGAGUUUAUGGCGCAUUAGUUAGUUGGUGGGGUAACGGCCUACCAAGACGAUGAUGCGUAGCCGACCUGAGAGGGUGACCGGCCACACUGGGACUGAGACACGGCCCAGACUCCUAUGGGAGGCAGCAGUAGGGAAUUUUCGGCAAUGGGCGCAAGCCUGACCGAGCAACGCCGCGUGAGUGAUUAAGGCCUUCGGGUUGUAAGCUCUGUUGUAAGGGAAGAACAUUCAGGAUAGGAAAUGAUCUUGAACUGACGGUACCUUACCAGAAAGCCACGGCUAACUACGUGCCAGCCGCCGCAGUAAUAC